UACGAGUGCCUCAAGCGUUAUCCGGAAUUAUUGGGCGUAAAGGUUGUGUAGGUGGUUGUAUUAGUCUUCUGUUAAAUUCUUCGGCUUAACCGGGGGCAUGCAGGGGAAACGGUACAACUAGAGGAUGCGAGGGGUCUGUGGAACUCAUAGUGUAGCGGUGAAAUGCGUUGAUAUUAUGGGGAACACCAAAAGCGAAGGCAGACAGACUGGAGCACUCCUGACACUGAAACAAGAAAGCGAUGGGUCG
rnacentral:rRNA from 1 species